CCUACGGGAGGCAGCAGUCUAGAAAUUUGCACAAUCGCCGAAGGGCGGAUGCAGCGACACCACGUGGAGGAUGUCACCCCUCGGGGUGUAAACUCCUGUCAGAAGGGAAGAAGGCGCGGGCGUUAAUACUGCUCAUUGCUUGACGGUACCUCCAGAGGAAGCUCCGGCUAACUACGUGCCAACAGCCGCGGUAAUACGUAGGGAGCGAGCGUUGUUCGGAUUUACUGGGCGUAAAGGGCACGUAGGCGGGUAUGCAAGUCGAUUGUGAAAUCCUCUGGCUCAACCAGAGAACUGCAGCCGAAACUGCACACCUUGAGUCCAGCAGAGGGAAUCGGAAUCCCAGGUGUAGCGGUGAAAUGCGUAGAUAUCUGGGAGAACAUCAGUGGCGAAGGCGGAUUCCUGGGCUGGUACUGACGCUGAGGUGCGAAAGCUAAGGGAGCGAACAGGAUUAGAUACCCUGGUAGUCUUAGCCGUAAACGAUGGGUACUAGGUGUUGGGGGACAUUGACCCCCUCAGUGCCGUAGCUAACGCAUUAAGUACCCCGCCUGGGGAGUACGGCCGCAAGGCUGAAACUCAAAGGAAUUGACGG
rnacentral:rRNA from 1 species